UACGGGGGGGGCAAGCGUUGUUCGGAAUUACUGGGCGUAAAGGGCUCGUAGGCGGCCAACUAAGUCCGACGUGAAAUCCCCAGGCUUAACCUGGGAACUGCGUCGGAUACUGGAUGGCUUGAAUUCGGGAGAGGGAUGCAGAAUUCCAGGUGUAGCGGUGAAAUGCGUAGAUAUCAGGAGGAACACCGGUGGCGAAGGCGGGUCUCUGGGCCAUUACUGACGCUGAGGAGCGAAAGCGUGGGGAGCAAACAGG
rnacentral:rRNA from 1 species